GAGUCGUUAGCUCAGUUGGUAGAGCAGUUGACUUUUAAUCAAUUGGUCGCAGGUUCGAAUCCUGCACGACCCACCA
rnacentral:tRNA from 11 species